GUCAUCUUCUCCAUUUCACUUUGCCGUAGCUCACACCAUAGGAAACCAAAGAAUUUCUUUUCUUUCUCCCACCAAAGCCAAGCCAAAACCUCACCAAAUCAACUUCUUUCUUUAACCAAAAUUCAUCCUAAGAUCAAGAUCUAAAGGAAGAGCCAUAUAUUGAAGGGAUUGAAGAAGAAAAGUUUAGGGUUCCAUAUACACCAAGCUUGAAAAUCAAAGGUAAGUUUAGAAAUGAGUAGGAAAUAGCAUCAUCUCAUUUCUUCAUGCAUGAAUUUGAAUUAUAAAGCUUUAAUUUAUAGUUUAUUCAAUCCUUUCCUAAGACAUAAAUUGACCUAGGUGAAGGAACAUCAAAGGGAAAGGAGAUAGCUAGAGAUUAGAAGAGGAAAAGAAAGAAGGAAGCCAAGAAAGGUUUGGUGUUUGUAUGAUUUUUCUGUUUUCCUUUGAUUCUGCCAUGAAUAAGUGAAAUUAGGGGUUGAUUUUACUUGCUGGAAAUGUUGUUUUGAUUGUAUAAAUAUGUUAUAUGAAUGUUAAAAUGAUGUUUGAAAGGCUUAGAGUAAAGAAAUUUCACAUGAGAGCUAAAAGUGCAAAUCUGGCAGAAUAGGUUGUAACAGGACAGCUUGUGUUGAUAUUCUUAUAACUUAUUGUGUGUUUAUUGAAAUUAAGCCUAAGAUAUACCAAAUGAAAGCUAAGACAAAGAGAUAAAACUUUCAUGAAUUGACCAAAUUCUGAAUCUGUAGGUAAGAUGAUGAAAAUUUGAAGUGAACCUAAACUGGAUACAGAGUUAGUGCAUCCGGAACAGUGUGUAUUGAUUAUACUAUAACUAAUUAUGUACUCAGUGAAAUUUGUUAAUACCAGUGCCAAAUGAAUCCUAAGUAGUAUACCUAAAACUUUGUAGAAGACACUUAAGCUUGAAUUUGUAUGGAAAUGUAUGAAUCUGAUAAUUUUUGUGAUACUAUAAACAGGUACUAAUACUGGACUGAUUAAGACCCGAUGGAGCAGCUUGUAAAGAAAAAUUCAUAACUUAAUUUAGGAUGAUCAGAAUUGCAUGAAUCAUACCUUGUUGGAAAGAUAAGACAUAAAUGUACAUUUCUUAUGAAGAAACUGAAGUCAAAUUGUGACUCUAAGCUACUUGAAAAGUUUAUGCAAAAGAUGGCAGAAUGUAGUUUUCUUAAAUUGGAAUGCUAUGUUGAUAAAGUUUUGCACUAUUUGCCAUGAGUUUUCCAUAUUGUAAAUCUUGGCAUAUGAUAUAUGGACUUUGGAAAAUGAAUUCAAAUAGCUUCAAAUGGCAUGCAUUUUACAUUGAUACAUUGAAUUAAUGGUACUUGGCCCUGGUAAACGUAAUAGGAGUCGAGGUUAGCUUAAGGGUAUGGCAUGCCAUAUAAACAUACAGAGUUCGCAGUACUGCUACCGAUACAUGAUUUUUAUUUGAGGUUACAUAUCAGGUACCUCAUAAGCACGGUCAUAGAGCCCUGCUAUCACAGUUUUGGCCUCUGAGCCUAUCGUUCGGCACUCUGUGCCUACCGUUAUAACUCCUUAUCUACCUAGACGAUCCUACUAUGUGUUUAUACGGGCUAAGAUCUUAAUUAAGAUUGAUACUUGAUUUUGUGAACUUAUUAGUGAGUGUUAAUCUGUUUGCAUCUCUUACAUGCGCUAAGCUGUGGUAAUUUAUUAUAAAUAGAAAAUGUGCAAUAACGGAAAAAAGAAGAUGUUUUUAUUCCGAUUAUCUGUAUACGUGAACUUGUUUGCUCUAUUUUGUUAUUUGUUUGCUAUCACCCACUGAGCAUUAGCUCAGCGUGUUGGUUUUUACCUCACGCAGGUUGUAGAUAAAAUAGGGCAACAGAAGUUAUCAGAGAUCUACAUCAGAUAUCAAGGCCAUCAUCAUAGCUGGUUGUUUUGAGUCUCGGAGUCAUAGUACAGUUUUAUUUUGGCAUGUACAUAUUAAAUAUAGUGAGUUGUGAAGGUUAUGUAAAUCAAAGAAUAGUAAGAUAUCAAGUGACAGUUGUUAGUGUUAUUAUAAGUGUGAUGUUCAUAUGUAUUAC
rnacentral:lncRNA from 1 species